GUGCUGGCUGAGAAGUCAAGAAGGUUAGCAUUCCCCUAAGCAUGGAUGGAAAAGGUCCUGGUGACCUAUAUACCAGACAUAUGGUUAAGAAAUUGCCACCUACCUCAUGGCAUCUAUCUAUGACUUCUC